GAAGAUAAGCGCGUCUAGCACCAAGCCGCAGAAGCACGGCUCAACUCUUCAGACAGAAAUGACUCAUCCCUCCAGUUACGGGGAAGUUUAGCAACUGUUUCCGCUUUUAUGCUGCACAACUGGCUUUCGUGGUAAGAACACCUCCGCUGGAAAGUGGAAACAACACCCCAGUCCAGAUGAAGAAACAGUCCACGGCGGAGGGAGCCAAAUUGACGCAACUGCACGGCGGAUUUCCACGGCAGGAAAAUCAGUCGAAACAAGAGCAAAGACGAUCCUCCAACUGGGUUAGUGGAGCAGCCGCUCGAUGUGUCGGUCAGCAGCUUUUACGGGAUUAAUUUUUCUGAAAUUUUUUCACACCAUCAUCCCCCAUCAUCUGGACAUGAGUGUGACCUCAUCCGAUUACCAAUCUGCUGCAUAGCUACUAUUCCCUCUCAGAUAUUUCAAACAUAUCUGUAAUUUUAAAACAAACAAACAAACAAACAAAAAACCUCUUUUUACUUUACGCUUAAUUUAUUCUGCAUAAUCUCUUGAAAAAUAAAACUGUUGUAUCUCUGUCUGAACCUUGCAGGUGACUUGCAUUGUUCUAUUAUUUAUUCAGUAUUAUUUGAUUGUAAUUGAUUUUGUCCUUUGUAAUAUUUAGCAUCAUUCUGUAUUUAAGGGCAAUGGAGGGGGAAAAAGUCACUUGUAACAUGUUGAUUUUCUUUAGUGAUGUGAAAAAUGUUGGACUAAAGAGGAAAAAGAUUGUUAGAGGAAAAUGAAGCAGCAGGAUUUAGGGGAAAUCUCCUGCAUGACCUCAUAUCAAAUUAAUCAUCAGGUAAUUUGGCAGUGAUACAUGGACAUUUGAAAAUACUGCACAUUAAAAACAUAGCCAAACUUGAACUU